AUCCAGAUGAUGAGUCCCAAAUAAGAUAAAACGUAUGUUCUGGAU
rnacentral:hammerhead_ribozyme from 1 species